AUUGAACGCUGGCGGCAUGCCUAACACAUGCAAGUCGAACGGCAGCACGGGAGCAAUCCUGGUGGCGAGUGGCGAACGGGUGAGUAAAGCAUCGGAACGUGCCCAGUCGUGGGGGAUAACGUAGCGAAAGCUACGCUAAUACCGCAUACGAUCAGUGGAUGAAAGCGGGGGACCGUAAGGCCUCGCGCGAUUGGAGCGGCCGAUGUCAGAUUAGGUAGUUGGCGGGGUAAAGGCUCACCAAGCCGACGAUCUGUAGCUGGUCUGAGAGGACGACCGGCCACACUGGGACUGGGACACGGCCAAGACUCCUACGGGAGGCAGCAGUGGGGAAUUUUGGGCAAUGGGCGCAAGCCUGAUCCAGCAAUGCCGCGUGCAGGAUGAAGGCCUUCGGGUUGUAAACUGCUUUUGUACGGAGCGAAAAGGCUUCCACUAAUACUGGGGGCUCAUGACGGUACCGUAAGAAUAAGCACCGGCUAACUACGUGCCAGCAGCCGCCGUAAGAC
rnacentral:rRNA from 1 species